AUUGAACGCUGGCGGCAUGCUUUACACAUGCAAGUCGAACGGCAGCAUGGGUGCUUGCACCUGAUGGCGAGUGGCGAACGGGUGAGUAAUGUAUCGGAACAUAUCCGCAAGUGGGGGAUAACGUAGCGAAAGUUACGCUAAUACCGCAUAUUCCCUGAGGGGGAAAGGAGGGGAUCCGCAAGGACCUUUCGCUUACGGAGUGGCCGAUAUCAGAUUAGCUAGUUGGUGAGGUAAAGGCUCACCAAGGCGACGAUCUGUAGCGGGUCUGAGAGGAUGAUCCGCCACACUGGGACUGAGACACGGCCCAGACUCCUACGGGAGGCAGCAGUGGGGAAUUUUGGACAAUGGGGGCAACCCUGAUCCAGCCAUGCCGCGUGAGUGAAGAAGGCCUUCGGGUUGUAAAGCUCUUUCAGCCGGAAAAAAAUCGCAUCACCUAAUACGUGGUGUGGAUGAUGGUACCGGAAGAAGAAGCACCGGCUAACUACGUGCCAGCCGCCGCGGUAA
rnacentral:rRNA from 1 species